AUUGAACGCUGGCGGCAGGCCUAACACAUGCAAGUCGACCGAGUGGCGGACGGGUGAGUAAUGUCUGGGAAACUGCCUGAUGGCGUGGGAUAACUACUGGAAACGGUAGCUACUACCGCAUACCAUCGGAUGUGCCCAGCUGGGAUUAGCUAGUAGGUGGGGUAAAUGCUCACCUAGGCGACGAUCCCUAGCUGGUCUGAGAGGAUGACCAGCCACACUGGAACGGAGACACGGUCCAGACUCAUACGGGAGGAAGCAGUGGGGAAUAGUGCAAAAGGGGCGCAAGCCUGAUGCAGCCAUGCGGGGUGUAUGAAGAAGGCCUUAGGGUUGUAAAGUACGUUAAGCGGGGAGGCGUUACCCGCAGAAGAAGCACCGGCUAACUCCGUGCCAGCAGCCGCGGUAAUUC
rnacentral:rRNA from 1 species